GUGUUCGCUUUGGCAGCACACAUUCUAAAACUAGAACUAUACGGGGAAGAUUAGAAUGGCCCCUGCGCAAGGAUGACAUGGAAAUUCGUGGAGUGUUCCAUAUUUUU